rnacentral:rRNA from 1 species
GACGAACGCUGGCGGCGUGCUUAACACAUGCAAGUCGAACGGAAAGGCCCUGCUUUUGUGGGGUGCUCGAGUGGCGAACGGGUGAGUAACACGUGAGUAACCUGCCCUUGAUUUUGGGAUAACUUCAGGAAACUGGGGCUAAUACCGGAUAGGAGCUCCUGCUGCAUGGUGGGGGUUGGAAAGUUUCGGCGGUUGGGGAUGGACUCGCGGCUUAUCAGCUUGUUGGUGGGGUAGUGGCUUACCCAGGCUUUGACGGGUAGCCGGCCUGAGAGGGUGACCGGCCACAUUGGGACUGAGAUACGGCGCAGACUCCUACGGGAGGCAGCAGUGGGGAAUAUUGCACAAUGGGCGGAAGCCUGAUGCAGCAACGCCGCGUGCGGGAUGACGGCCUUCGGGUUGUAAACCGCUUUCGCCUGUGACGAAGCGUGAGUGACGGUAAUGGGUAAAGAAGCACCGGCUAACUACGUG